GCCGGGGUAGCUCAGCCUGGGAGAGCACGCGGCUGUUAACCGCGUGGUCGUGGGUUCGAAUCCCACCCCCGGCG
rnacentral:tRNA from 1 species